rnacentral:lncRNA from 1 species
AAGGCAAAAAGACAAAAGAAGAAAAGAAAAGAGUGGGUAAUAAAAUGGUGUUGCCUCUCAGCACCCAGCCCUUGUAGUUAGAACUGCCAACCCUCACCCUAUGCGUAGGGCUACCAUUCCUAGCUGGUGUCCCAAGAGCCACAUGUGCUUAAACCAAGGCGAGGCCAGACCUGAUCUGGCCAGUCUUAUCACUCUUUCCUGUGAGGUGUGCUUUCCACCAUAGUUGAGCAUAUCAGAGUACAUUUCCAAGAUAUUUUUAAAUCAGAGUAGAGCAAGAAAAGGUGUCUUUCUGGCAGUGAGAGUUGGAAAAUAUAAAACUCAGAGCUCACAAAAGGUGAGGCUCCUAUCACAGGGCAGAGCCUGACCUACAGGAGGGACUGAAAUGCUGUAAGGGGCAGAGUUUGUUUCCUUGGUUCUCUCUGCCGCUGAAGCUUCCCAUUCCCACUGGCUAGCAGGAUGUCCCAUUUGCUUAUACUAGUUUGAGUUAGCUUAACUUUGGGAAUCAUAAAUGCCACAGCAUGAAAGUAGAUAUGAGGAGUUCCUGUUGUGGCUCAGUGGGUUAAAGACCUGAUGUAGUCUCUGUAAGGAUGCGGGUUUGAUCCCUGGCCUCCCUUAGAGGGUUAAGGAUCUGGCAUUGCUGCAAGCUGCUACUUAGGUCACAGAUGUGGCUGGGAUCUGGUGUUGCAGUGGCUGGGCCAUAGGCGGGCAGCUGCAGCUCUGAUUUGACCCCUAGACCAGGAACUUCCAUGUGCUGCAGAUGUAGCCAUAAAAAGAAAAAAAUGAAGAAAAAACAGAAAGUAGAGAUGAAAGAGAAUAAACAAAUUGAUGAGAGGUCAGGAAAAAAUAUAUAAUUAAAGGAUGGAAUGAAAAAAAUAGAUAUACACCGCAAAUUUCCUCCCAUUCUGCCUUUCAUGAAGCAUGUGACCAUUUUGAAGAGAUCCCAUAGCAAAGAGCUGAAGGCAGCCUCUAGCCAACAGCCAGGAAGAGGCUGGGGCCCUCAGAGUCACAACCACAAGGAAAUAACUUCAGAGUUCCUAUCAUAAGUGCAGAGGAAACGAAUCCAACUAGGAACCAUGAGGUUGCGGGUUCAAUCUCUGACCUCGCUCAGUGGGUUAAGGAUCCGGCAUUGCCAUGAGCUGUGGUGUAGGUUGCAGACAUGGCUCAGAUCUGAUGUUGCUGUGGCUGUGGUGUAGGCCAGCAGCUAUAGCUCUGAUUUGACUCCCAGCCUGGGAACCUCCAUAUGCCAUGGGUGUGGCCCUAAUAAGCAAAAAAAAAAAAAAAAA